UUUCGAAUUCCAUUCUCUCCUUCAAGCCAUGAUUCAUGAUAAUAUUUGGGAACCAAAUAAUGUGCCAUACAAUGUAGAGAUGUGUUACUUUUGUUCCACCUGAUACGUAGAACAUCCUAGCGGCUAAUUUGUCGGUCGUAUUCCUCUCAUAAAUGCUGAAUGAUUUUCCGAUAGCUCCACUACUCGAACUCUUUCGGUUUUUUUUGUUGAAUUAGAUCAGUCCCCUCCGAAAGUGAUAUAUAAUCAUCUUUUUUUCUUGCAUCAACUUGAACAUUGGUUCGUUUUCUUUCCGCUUGUUCAUGAUCCACCGGAGUUGGAGCCACGCUUAAAGUUUUGGGAUUGAGGCGGUGGUG
rnacentral:misc_RNA from 1 species